AACGGCGGCCGUAACUAUAACGGUCCUAAGGUAGCGAAAUUCCUUGUCAGGUAAGUUCUGACCCGCAUGAAAGGCGUAAUGAUUUGGGCACUGUCUCGACAGCCCGCCCGGCGAAAUUGUAGUACCGGUGAAGAUGCCGGUUACCCGCGACAAGACGGAAAGACCCCAUGGAGCUUUACUGUAGCCUAAUAUUGGGUUUCGAUGUUGCAUGCACAGGAUAGAUGGGACACAGGGAAACAAGUGCUUUGGCAUUUGUGGAGUGGCCGUUGGGAUACCAUCCUUGCGAUAUUGGAAUUCUAACCUGCGCCUUUGAAUCAAGGCGGGGGACAUUGUUAGGUGGGCAGUUUGACUGGGGCGGUCGCCUCCUAAAGAGUAACGGAGGCGUUCAAAGGUUCGCUCAGCUUGAACGGAAAUCAAGCAAAAGAGUGCAAACGCAGAAGCGAGCCUAACUGCGAGACUGACGGGUCGAGCAGUAACGAAAGUUGGAGUUAGUGAUCCGGUGGUAUGUGAGUGGAAAUGCCAUCGCUCAACGGAUAAAAGUUACCCUGGGGAUAACAGGCUGAUCUCCCCCAAGAGUCCACAUCGACGGGGAGGUUUGGCACCUCGAUGUCGGCUCAUCGCAUCCUGGGGCUGUAUUCGGUCCCAAGGGUUUGGCUGUUCGCCAAUUAAAGCGGUACGCGAGCUGGGUUCAGAACGUCGUGAGACAGUUCGGUCCCUAUCUGUCGUGGGCGCAGGAUAUUUGAUGGGAGCUGUUCCUAGUACGAGAGGACCGGAGCGGACGUACCUCUGGCGCACCAGUUGUUCUGCCAAGAGCAUAGCUGGGCAACUAUGUACGGAUCGGAUAAACGCUGAAAGCAUCUAAGCGUGAAGCCGACCCAAAGAUAAGAUAUCCCAUUGUUUCAAACAAGUAAGACCCCUUGAAGACUACAAGGUUGAUAGGCACGAUGUGUAAGUGGAGCGAUCCAUUCAGCAAGCGUGUACUAAUAGGUCGAGGGCUUGACCAC
rnacentral:rRNA from 1 species